rnacentral:rRNA from 1 species
CCCUUAGAUGUUCUGGGCCGCACGCGCGCUACACUGACGAAUGCAACGAGCUUAUAACCUUGGCCGAAAGGUCUGGGUAAUCUCCAAAUUUCGUCGUGAUGGGGAUAGAUUAUUGCAAUUAUUAAUCUUCAACGAGGAAUUCCCAGUAAGCGCGAGUCAUAAGCUCGCGUUGAUUACGUCCCUGCCCUUUGUACACACCGCCCGUCGCUACUACCGAUUGAACGGUUUAGUGAGGGCAUCGGACUGGUCUCGGCCCGCCCUUCACCGGUGCGGCGCCGCCGGCCGGGAAGACGCUCGAACUUGAUCGUUUAGAGGAAGUAAAAGUCGUAACA